rnacentral:lncRNA from 1 species
AUCUUCAGAAAGGGAAGGGAGACGCAAACCUCACAGGAAGCCAAGCGGGCAAACCGUCACUUGAGCUGAAGUGAGAACUGCCUUUCUUUUCCAGCCAAGGGUGACUUUGGUGCCUCUAGGGUCAGGUGGGGUCACAGAGGGCAGAACUCUGUGUGCCUUCAGGGUGUGGAAAUGGUGACCAAGUCUUUACUCUUUUAGAGAGAUUUUGGGGGCUGGAGCUGUUGUUUAGUGGUAGAGUGUGUGUCUGGUAUGUGCAAAGCCCAACACUUCAAAUAAAAAACAAAACUGUUACUGGCGGUUCAAGUCUAUUAUCCCAAUUACUUGAGUGGAGCCAAGAGGUAGGGGUGCGUAGCUUUAAUCCCAGCACUCAAGAGGCAGAGACAGAUUGAUCUCGGUAAGUUCAAAGCCAGCCUGUCUACAGAGCCAGUUCUAGGAUAGCCAGGGUUAUACAGAGAAACCUUGUCUUAAAAAACAAACAAACAAAAAACCCAACUACUUAAGCAGAUGAAACAGGAAGAUAUGUGAGUUCAAAGUCAGGCUGGGCUAUAUAGAAACACAAGGGGCAGCUUGGGUAACCUGUGAGACCUUAUCUCAAAAUAAAAACUAAAGGGAGGGCUGAGAAUGGCUUUUUUUUUUUUUUUUUUUUUUUUUUUUUGAGACAGGGUUUCUCUGUGUAGACCUGGCUCUCUUGGAAAUCACUUUGUAGACCAGGCUGGCCUCGAACUCAUAAAUCUACCUGCCUCUGCCCCUCCCAAGUGCUGGGCCUGCCUCUGCCUCCCAAGUGCUGGGAUUAUGAAGCUGGGCCACCACUCUCAGUGAGAAUGGCUUUGUGAUAGAGUUCUUGUGUAAAAUUUGCCAGUAGGAGGCUGGGGGCGUGGCUCAGUGGUAGAGCCCCUAUCCAGACUCCCCCAGGGAGGGGCUGGGGGCGUGGCUCAGUGGUAGAGCAUCUAUGUGGAUCUCCACCCUAUUCUUUUGAGAGAGGGUCUCUUAUUGAACCCGAAGCUCACCAAUUUAAUUAGAAAAGUUGACCAUCAAACUCCCAGGGAUCUGCCGGCAUCACUGAGUUACACGUGUGCACUACCACAUCCCCCCACCCCCUUUGGAUAUAAGUUCUGGAGAUUGAAUUUAGGGCCUCAUGUUUUUGUGGGAAAGCGCUUAACCAAUCACAUCAUCUCCCCAGCCCUCCCAGAAAAAUCUGACAAGUUAUCCUGACCAGGGCUCAGCAUUAGCUGUGGACAGUCCACCCUGGAGCUGCCUUUGGUUCUCUAUCCACCUCGGAGGGCUCAGUUGGCCCCCAAAGUUCCCUGGCUUCUCCACCCUCAUUCACCCUGUUUGGGACAGCGUGGAAGCUGAGAAGAUGGAAAAGCCUCUAGCGGUGGCCAGCUGUCAACCUGCAGGUGCAAACAUCUUGGGGCUUGAGGGGAGCUGGAGUGGGGAAUGGGAGUAGUUGGAGGGGAUUCUUAUACCCCCUCCCCCCCAAAAAACCAUGGGAUGCAAGGCAGAGACCAGUUCCCUUAUAACAGCAUGGCCGUCCCUGUGACAGUUCAGCAUCUGUGAAAUGAGUAUGGUUAGCCCUUUCCAUAGGUUAUGGCCAGGGCAGAAUGAAUGACGGCUGGGUGCUACCCGCCUGCGACAUUUCUGGGCCCCCAACAAGAGCUGGACUGAUGCAGCAGAAUCUGCCUUUGAUCCCCACGAGGAAACUGGCCCAGAAGACACUUUUCCGGGCCAAUGUUUUCUUGCCCACUUGGCUAGAGUUCUCUUUCCCUGUGUUUCUGUUGAAAUACUAGUUUCUAAGGAUUUCCAUUGCUCGCCUGGCCACGCAGCAGUACCCAGUUGGAUCUGUUUUGACACCAGGCCACCAUCCUGUCUAUUCUCUCCGUUGUCACUGUUCCUUCUCUGUAGCUGGCGAAGAGUGGUGGGGGAGGGGAAACAAAGCAUAUUGAACGAGGAUGCUUCUAGAAAAGCUCAUUCCUUUGCCCCAACUCCAUAGGGCUGGGCAGCUGGCUGUUGCCCCAUUUAACAGACCUAAGGCCUUCAUCUCUCGGGGCAACAGGUGCUGGGUAGAAGCAAGAAGAUGGCGAUUGGCCAAAGAUGUAGUCAUGUGACCUUGCUUGGGCCUAUUGCAGGAACAGCCAAGAGAGAACUGUUCAGAGGCCGUUCUUUUUCCAUUCUUUUUGUCUUUUUUUUUUUUUUUCCUCCCUUCAGAGCUGAUGAUAGAACCCAGGGCCUUGCACUUGCUAGGCAAGCUCUCUACUACUGAGCUAAAGCCCCAACCCCUCAGAGGCCGUUCUUGAUUGGCUUUUGAGUAUGGAAUAUCUCCCUCCUCUGAGAGAAAGGGGUUGAGUGUUAUUCCACAGGAUAGGAGUGCUGUUUGGGGAGAUUGUGAGGUUUGGUGGAUGGAAGUGGGGUGGUACGUGUGUGUGUGUGUGUGUGUGUGUGUGUGUGUGUGUGUGUGUGUGUGUGUGGUAUGUGUGUGUGUGUGUGUGUGUGUGUGUGUGUGUGUGUGUGUGUGUGUGUGUGUGUGUUUCCAGACAGGCUUUCUUUGUGUAGCUCUGGCUGUCCUGGAACUCGCCCUAUAGACCAGGCUGGCCUCGAACCCAGAAACCUACCUGCCUCUGCCUCCAGAGUGCUGAGACUAAAGGCAUGCGCCACCAUUGCUCA